UGACAGUACUCCUACGGGGAGGCAGCAGUGGGGGAAUAUUGCACAAUGGGCGCAAGCCUGAUGCAGCCAUGCCGCGUGUGUGAAGAAGGCCUUCGGGUUGUAAAGCACUUUCAGUCGUGAGGAAGGUAGUGUAGUUAAUAGCUGCAUUAUUUGACGUUAGCGACAGAAGAAGCACCGGCUAACUCCGUGCCAGCAGCCGCGGUAAUACGGAGGGUGCGAGCGUUAAUCGGAAUUACUGGGCGUAAAGCGCAUGCAGGUGGUUUGUUAAGUCAGAUGUGAAAGACCCGGGGCUCAACCUCGGAAUAGCAUUUGAAACUGGCAGACUAGAGUACUGUAGAGGGGGGUAGGAAUUUCAGGUGUAGCGGUGAAAUGCGUAGAGAUCUGAAGGAAUACCGGUGGCGAAGGCGGCCCCCUGGACAGAUACUGACACUCAGAUGCGAAAGCGUGGGGAGCAAACAGGAUUAGAUACCCUGGUAG
rnacentral:rRNA from 1 species